UUCUGGACGUCGACCGGCGCACGGGUGAGUAUCGCGUAUCCAACCUGCCCCUUACUUGGGGAUACCCCGUUGAAAGACGGCCUAAUACCCGAUGUGUUUCAUUGACGGCAUCCGAUAUGAAACAAAGGUUUUCCGGUAAGGGAUGGGGAUGCGUCUGAUUAGCUAGUUGGCGGGGCAACGGCCCACCAAGGCGACGAUCAGUAGGGGUUCUGAGAGGAAGGUCCCCCACAUUGGAACUGAGACACGGUCCAA
rnacentral:rRNA from 1 species